UGAAGAUGAUGAGGAGAAAUCUGCUGAGAGAACACGUCCGAGCCUGAGCCCCACUCUUCAGUUUGACAGAGCAUUGGGGUUGCCAUGGAUACCCAGGCCAAGAUGAAGGCCAUCAAGCACAUUUUAAUCUGGAAUCAGAGAGAGGGAGAGAUGAUGAAGCUACGACAAAAUAAUGAUUAGGUUCCCCACUUAUGGUGAAGUUCCCCCAUCGCCGUCAGAGCCCGUUAUUACCCGCA
rnacentral:lncRNA from 1 species